UACGUAGGGUGCAAGCGUUAAUCGGAAUUACUGGGCGUAAAGCGUGCGCAGGCGGCUUUGCAAGACAGAUGUGAAAUCCCCGGGCUUAACCUGGGAACUGCAUUUGUGACUGCAUGGCUGGAGUGCGGCAGAGGGGGGGAUGGAAUUCCGCGUGUAGCAGUGAAAUGCGUAGAUAUGCGGAGGAACACCGAUGGCGAAGGCAAUCCCCUGGGCCUGCACUGACGCUCAUGCACGAAAG
rnacentral:rRNA from 1 species